UACGGAGGGUGCAAGCGUUAUCCGGAUUUACUGGGUUUAAAGGGUGUGUAGGCGGGUCUAUAAGUCAGUGGUGAAAUCUCCGGCUCAACCCGGAAACUGCCAUUGAUACUAUAGGUCUUGAAUAUUGUGGAGGUGGGCGGAAUGUGUCAUGUAGCGGUGAAAUGCUUAGAGAUGACACAGAACACCGAUUGCGAAGGCAGCCCACUACGCAACUAUUGACGCUGAGGCACGAAAGCGUGGGGAUCAAACAGG
rnacentral:rRNA from 1 species